UACAGAGGGUGCGAGCGUUAAUCGGAAUUACUGGGCGUAAAGCGCGCGUAGGCGGCUUUGCAAGUCGGUUGUGAAAUCCCCAGGCUUAACCUGGGAACUGCAUUCGAGACUGCAUUGCUAGAGUAUGGGAGAGGGAAGUGGAAUUUCCGGUGUAGCGGUGAAAUGCGUAGAUAUCGGAAGGAACAUCAGUGGCGAAAGCGACUUCCUGGACCAAUACUGACGCUCAUGUGCGAAAGCGUGGGGAGCAAACAGG
rnacentral:rRNA from 1 species